rnacentral:rRNA from 1 species
UUACCAAGGCUAUGACGCUUAACUGGUCUGAGAGGAUGAUCAGUCACACUGGAACUGAGACACGGUCCAGACUCCUACGGGAGGCAGCAGUAGGGAAUAUUGCGCAAUGGGGGAAACCCUGACGCAGCAACGCCGCGUGGAGGAUGACACUUUUCGGAGCGUAAACUCCUUUUCUUAGGGAAGAAUUCUGACGGUACCUAAGGAAUAAGCACCGGCUAACUCCGUGCCAGCAGCCGCGGUAAUACGGAGGGUGCAAGCGUUACUCGGAAUCACUGGGCGUAAAGGGCGCGUAGGCGGAUUAUCAAGUCUCUUGUGAAAUCUAAUGGCUUAACCAUUAAACUGCUUGGGAAACUGAUAGUCUAGAGUGAGGGAGAGGCAGAUGGAAUUGGUGGUGUAGGGGUAAAAUCCGUAGAUAUCACCAAGAAUACCCAUUGCGAAGGCGAUCUGCUGGAACUCAACUGACGCUAAGGCGCGAAAGCGUGGGGAGCAAACAGGAUUAGAUACCCUGGUAGUCCACGCCCUAAACGAUGUACACUAGUUGUUGGGGUGCUAGUCAUCUCAGUAAUGCAGCUAACGCAUUAAGUGUACCGCCUGGGGAGUACGGUCGCAAGAUUAAAACUCAAAGGAAUAGACGGGGACCCGCACAAGCGGUGGAGCAUGUGGUUUAAUUCGAAGAUACGCGAAGAACCUUACCUGGGCUUGAUAUCCUAAGAACCUUUUAGAGAUAAGAGGGUGCUAGCUUGCUAGAACUUAGAGACAGGUGCUGCACGGCUGUCGUCAGCUCGUGUCGUGAGAUGUUGGGUUAAGUCCCGCAACGAGCGCAACCCACGUAUUUAGUUGCUAACGGUUCGGCCGAGCACUCUAAAUAGACUGCCUUCGUAAGGAGGAGGAAGGUGUGGACGACGUCAAGUCAUCAUGGCCCUUAUGCCCAGGGCGACACACGUGCUACAAUGGCAUAUACAAUGAGACGCAAUACCGCGAGGUGGAGCAAAUCUAUAAAAUAUGUCCCAGUUCGGAUUGUUCUCUGCAACUCGAGAGCAUGAAGCCGGAAUCGCUAGUAAUCGUAGAUCAGCCAUGCUACGGUGAAUACGUUCCCGGGUCUUGUACUCACCGCCCGUCACACCAUGGGAGUUGAUUUCACUCGAAGCCGGAAUACUAAACUAGUUACCGUCCACAGUGGAAUCAGCGACUGGGGUGAAGUCGUAACAAGGUAACCGUAGGAGAACCUGCGGUUGGAUCACCUCCUUUCUA